UCUCUUUAGGAUGAAUUAGGCUUCAAAUAGGUUUAGGUUAGUCGCCUUAAAAAUUACUUAAUUGACCUUGGCUUCUUGGCUCCAGUCUGCCCGUCCGCUGCCGCGGAUGGACCAUGGAUUUGACAAUUUUUCUGUUCGCGGCCGCAGUUCUGAACACGGAGCUGGGCGCGGAGCAGGUACUUGCUCUUCUUUCUCCUUUUCAAUCGGGCUAUCUUCCGAUUGGCCUUUCAUGCUCCAUAUUGACUCUAAAAUACCCUUUUAACUUCCUCUUAGCUCGGAGUGGCUCCUGCAAAACCUAAAAAUCUUAAUUAUACCAUUUUUUUAUUUUUUACAUUCAAACAUUGAUAAAGUGCGGCCAAAUUAGAGUGUAAAUAGUAUCUAAAUAGCAUAAUUAUCGUCUACUAUCAACACCAUGCACUGAGCAAUCAAACCACACCCUGCAAAGGCCUAACUUGCUCGAGCGACUUCUCUAACUCGUCAUACCAAGAAUAUUCCUUAUAGAUUGAACACAUUAGUGUAACAUCCACACCACAAAAGUUGACUCCCGCGAGCAACGUAAUAUUCCUAACCGGCUUACUUACCCUAACUCAGAGGUGCAAACUUACCUCUGCUUCAUGAAUCAAGUGCCUGCUCACAACAAAAGAGACUCAUUCCACGGUCGAUAACAUGCACACACACUGAGGAACUCCAAUAUAAAUAAAACUCACUCACCCUCAUAAAUGACAUUCAUAUGACACAAAAGACGCACCAUAGGCUUUUCCAUAGUGUACUACUCUACCACCUGAGCUCAUUCAAUGUAGGAUCAAUUAGGGAUUUAUUUGGUUGUAAUGUAAGCUGUGGGCCGGGUAGGAUACAUUUAGGUAUACGAGUUGCUACACCUCCCUAAGCACUUUAAAAUAUCUAUGUUAGCAUUCAAAACCCCACACUUAUGUCAAAGCAUGACUCUACCUUCACAUCACUAUAUAUUAACUCGUUUCUUCUUUAAGCACAAUUACAUCAAGAGCCACCACUUAUUCAGGAAUAUUUUUCACUACAACACAACUCUCUC
rnacentral:lncRNA from 1 species